CCCUUCACUUUAUCUUUAUUCACAUAUACAUCCUUUUUUGUCAAAGAAAUUCCUAAUGAUUUUUUAGGAAAAAAGCCAGGCGCGCAGCCGACAGGAUUCGAACCCGCGUCGAGCCGCUGGGUGUGCACGCUCCUUGCCGUUCCGCUACUACACCUAUUGCGUGAACAAUCACGCGUUAUUUUAACCAGAAAGUGAUCAGUGUCGCCAUCACUUGUUCGAACACUUGUCACAACAUCAUCGUACAUGUC
rnacentral:lncRNA from 1 species